GGGCGCGUAGCUCAGCGGGAGAGCACUACGUUGACAUCGUAGGGGUCACAGGUUCAAUCCCUGUCGCGCCCACCA
rnacentral:tRNA from 112 species